AACGCACAUUGCGCCCAUUGGUAUUCCGAUGGGCAUGCCUGUUCGAGCGUCAUUAUCCUCCCUCAAACCCCUGGGGUUUGGUGUUGGACCACGGGGAGAGGGGUGUCCAUCCCUCCCCGGGUCUCAAAGACAAUGACGGCGUCCGUGGGACCCUCGGUGCAACGAGCUUUUCGAAGCACGCGUCGAGUUUCCGUCUCCACGGGCCGGUCCAGCCUUUUUUUUUUGGCACGUUACCACAGGUUGACCUCGGAUCAGGUAGGAAUACCCGCUGAACUUAA
rnacentral:misc_RNA from 1 species